rnacentral:rRNA from 1 species
AUUAGUUAGUUGGUGAGGUAAUGGCUCACCAAGACAAUGAUCAAUAGCUGAUCUGAGAGGAUGAUCAGCCACACUGGGACUGAGACACGGCCCAGACUCCUACGGGAGGCAGCAGUGGGGAAUCUUGCACAAUGGAGGAAACUCUGAUGCAGCGAUGCCGCGUGAGUGAAGAAGGCCUUUGGGUUGUAAAGCUCUUUUGUAGGGGAAGAUAAUGACUGUACCCUAAGAAUAAGGUCCGGCUAACUUCGUGCCAGCAGCCGCGGUAAUACGAAGGGACCUAGCGUAGUUCGGAAUUACUGGGCGUAAAGCGCGCGUAGGCCGUUGAGUUAGUUAAUUGUGAAAUCCCAAAGCUUAACUUUGGAACUGCAAUUAAAACUGCUCGACUAGAGUUUGAUAGAGGAAAGCGGAAUACAUAGUGUAGAGGUGAAAUUCGUAGAUAUUAUGUAGAACACCAGUUGCGAAGGCGGCUUUCUGGGUCAACACUGACGCUGAGGCGCGAAAGUCUGGGGAGCGAACAGGAUUAGAUACCCUGGUAGUCCAGACCGUAAACGGUGGGCACUAGUUGUGGGAACCUUCCACGGUUUCUGCGACGCAGCUAACGCAUUAAGUGCCCCGCCUGGGGAGUACGAUCGCAAGAUUAAAACUCAAAGGAAUUGACGGGGCCCCGCACAAGCAGCGGAGCAUGCGGCUCAAUUCGACGCAACGCGAAGAACCUUACCAAGGCUUGACAUAUAGGGAAAAGUGGCAGAGAUGUCAUGUCCGCAAGGGCUCUAUACAGGUGGUGCAUGGUUGUCGUCAGCUCGUGUCGUGAGAUGUUGGGUUAAGUCCCGCAACGAGCGCAACCCUCGUUCUGUGUUGCCAGCAUUUAGUUGGGGACUCACAGGAGACUGCCGGGGUUAACUCGGAGGAAGGUGGGGAUGACGUCAAAUCAUCAUGCCCCUUAUGUCUUGGGCUGCACGCAUGCUACAAUGGCCGGUACAGAGGGCUGCAAUACCGUAAGGUGGAGCGAAUCCCAAAAAGCCGGUCUCAGUUCGGAUUGAGGUCUGCAACUCGACCUCAUGAAGUUGGAGUUGCUAGUAAUCGUAGAUCAGCAACGCUACGGUGAAUACGUUCCCGGGGCUUGUACACACCGCCCGUCACGUCACGAAAGUCGGUAACAACCCAAAGUCAGUGGCCCAAC